rnacentral:tRNA from 1 species
GCCGAAGUGGUGGAAAUGGUAGACACGCCAUCUUGAGGGGGUGGUGAGGUAACUCGUGCCGGUUCAAGUCCGGCCUUCGGCACCA